UGGAAGGCCACAGUGAGGUCUCUGCAGAGCCCAGCUCAGCCCUUCUUCAUAUGAGAAGGGAUUAUGGCAGUGUCUGUUCAUUGCUUGGCCUGGGAGCAGAGUGCUGUAUGAUGUCCUUCGUGCUUGUUCAGAAGAGGGAUCAACGAGGUGGUUUUGAACCAAGGACUGCAGCCAGUCAUUACACUGAAAACAGCAGAGGUGAUACUUUGCAGUCUGUGUAGAAUCCAGGAGCACAGCCAGAGCUUCUAUUUCAAGUGAGAUAACGCUGCGUGUUGAUAGAGAACCCAGGGGAAAAUGAUGCUAGAGAAGAAGGGAUGGAGCAGAACCUUCGGCAGGACAGCAUGGAACCCACAGCACAGAAGCAGAGCAGGGGAACAAAGCGUGCCUCACAGGUCAGUAAUGAAGGCAGUUGAAGGGUGAUGGGAGCAGAUUCCUGUGCUCCCACUGGCCAGAUUGUGAUCUGUAGUUACACUGCUCCCUUCCCCUUUGGGAAAUGGACUUCCACCCUUGCAAGGCAUGCAGCUCUCAACCACACGUGGUUCUCCUGUGUGAGUACAGUGGGGGAAAAACCAGAAUUUGAAGCCAGCCCUCCACCUUCACAAAGGGAAAGGAAAGCCGUGAGCAGCUCCGUUCCCAAUUAACAGCUCGAUUCCUAAUUACAA
ensembl:lncRNA